rnacentral:rRNA from 1 species
CGCGAUUAACGCUGGCGGCAGGCCUAACACAUGCAAGUCGAGCGGCAGCGGAGAGUAGCUUGCUACUUUGCCGGCGAGCGGCGGACGGGUGAGUAAUGUCUGGGGAUCUGCCCGAUGGAGGGGGAUAACUACUGGAAACGGUAGCUAAUACCGCAUAACGUCGCAAGACCAAAGUGGGGGACCUUAGGGCCUCACACCAUCGGAUGAACCCAGAUGGGAUUAGCUAGUAGGUGGGGUAACGGCUCACCUAGGCGACGAUCCCUAGCUGGUCUGAGAGGAUGACCAGCCACACUGGAACUGAGACACGGUCCAGACUCCUACGGGAGGCAGCAGUGGGGAAUAUUGCACAAUGGGCGCAAGCCUGAUGCAGCCAUGCCGCGUGUGUGAAGAAGGCCUUCGGGUUGUAAAGCACUUUCAGCGGGGAGGAAGGAGUGAGUGUUAACAGCACUCAUUAUUGACGUUACCCGCAGAAGAAGCACCGGCUAACUCCGUGCCAGCAGCCGCGGUAAUACGGAGGGUGCGAGCGUUAAUCGGAAUUACUGGGCGUAAAGCGUACGCAGGCGGUUUGUUAAGUCAGAUGUGAAAUCCCCGAGCUUAACUCGGGAACUGCAUUUGAAACUGGCAGGCUAGAGUCUCGUAGAGGGGGGUAGAAUUCCAGGUGUAGCGGUGAAAUGCGUAGAGAUCUGGAGGAAUACCGGUGGCGAAGGCGGCCCCCUGGACGAAGACUGACGCUCAGGUACGAAAGCGUGGGGAGCAAACAGGAUUAGAUACCCUGGUAGUCCACGCUGUAAACGAUGUCGAUUUGAAGGUUGUGGCCUUGAGCCGUGGCUUUCGGAGCUAACGCGUUAAAUCGACCGCCUGG